rnacentral:rRNA from 1 species
AACGUAGGAGGCGAGCGUUAUCCGGAUUUACUGGGCGUAAAGCGCACGCAGGCGGCUCUGUAAGUUGGACGUGAAAGCUCCCGGCUUAACCGGGAGAGGCCGUUCGAUACUGCGGGGCUUGAGGUAGGGAGAGGAAUGCGGAAUUCCCGGUGUAGUGGUGGAAUGCGUAGAUAUCGGGAGGAACACCUGUGGCGAAAGCGGCAUUCUGGCCCUCACCUGACGCUGAGGUGCGAAAGCGUGGGUAGCAAACAGG